AAGCUCGUAGUUGAAUUUCGGGGUUAGUAGGUUGGUCAUGCCUCUGGUAUGUAUUGGUCUCACUGAUUCCUCCUUCCUUAUGAACCGUAAUGCCAUUAAUUUGGUGUUGCGGGGAAUUUGGACUGUUACUUUGAAAAAAUUAGAGUGUUUAAAGCAAGCUAACGCUUGAAUACAUUAGCAUGGAAUAAUGAAAUAGGACGUUCGAUCUUAUUUUGUUUGGUUUUCUUAGGAUUGACGUAAUGAUUAAUAGGGAUAGUUGGG
rnacentral:rRNA from 1 species